rnacentral:rRNA from 1 species
CUAUGCGCCUUGCCAGCCCGCUCAGUCAGAGUUUGAUCCUGGCUCAGGACGAACGCUGGCGGCGUGCUUAACACAUGCAAGUCGAACGGGAUCCGGGCUUUCGGGUUUGGUGAGAGUGGCGAACGGGUGAGUAACACGUGAGUAACCUGCCCCCUUCUUUGGGAUAACGUCGGGAAAUCGGCGCUAAUACUGGAUAUUCUUGCUGCAUCGCAUGGUGUGGUUUGGAAAGGGUUUCUGGUGGGGGAUGGGCUCGCGGCCUAUCAGCUUGUUGGUGGGUGAUGGCCUACCAAGGCUUUGACGGGUAGCCGGCCUGAGAGGGUGUCCGGCCACACUGGGACUGAGACACGGCCCAG